UACGUAGGUGGCAAGCGUUGUCCGGAAUUACUGGGUGUAAAGGGAGCGCAGGCGGGCGAUCAAGUUGGAAGUGAAACUCAUGGGCUCAACCCAUGACCUGCUUUCAAAACUGAACGUCUUGAGUGGUGUAGAGGUAGGCGGAAUUCCCGGUGUAGCGGUGGAAUGCGUAGAUAUCGGGAGGAACACCAGUGGCGAAGGCGGCCUACUGGGCACUAACUGACGCUGAGGCUCGAAAGCAUGGGUAGCAAACAGGAUUAGAAACCCCGGUAGU
rnacentral:rRNA from 1 species